rnacentral:lncRNA from 1 species
GGUCAGCUCAGAGGGAGCAGGUUGCAGCUGCCUACACCCCGAAGCCUGCGGCAUCCGGGGCUCUCCUGCCUUGUGCCCUCUGGAUCGUACUCACCUGUGGCCGUGGACCUUGGGCCUGGGAGGAUAGCGGUGAGCCCACCUCCCACGGCUCGCCUUCUGGGGCCGGCUGACUUGCUGGGCCAUUAACCAGCAAAGCCGCAGCAGCAAUAAAAUUAAUUUCCUUCCUAAUAUAUACAAGACUUUCUGCAGGAGAAUUAUGGACCGAUUUGAUCAAAGUGUGCAAAACCCAGCAGGAAGAUAGAAGACAAUAGAGCCGUGAUUUUGACCCAGCCUCCCAGGACACAGAUGGGGUGAAGAAAUCAAAGGGGCAAACAGAAUUUGCAGCCCAAGUUUCGAAGGGGCAGUUGGGAGACAUCUUUAGGCUUUCUGCAACCAAGCCACCGUCUUCCACACAGCAAGAGACAGUUACUCAGUGGAGGAAUAAGCCUUCAGUUGCAUACCGCUCUGUGCAUUGGAUGGGAGGAUUUUGAAACUUUUGGAAGCUCCAUACUGUGGCUUUAUUCCAUGAAUCCACCAGCGCUGUGCACCAAAGUUUCUCUGUGGAGGGAGAACAUAUUUUUGCAGAGCAAGUACAGAUAAGAGGUUGGGUGCCUGAAGCCUGGAUAAUAAUAGAAUGACAGCUGAUGAUUCAUCAGUGCUCUUCAGAGCCAGCUGAUAAUACGUUGCCAGCCUUUCCCCUUUGCUCAGACAGAACAGCCACCCUCACCCACGGGGAUUCCUGCCCAGAAGGAAUUUCCACAGCCCUGUACCAAGCAUGCUUAAAGUGGCUGCCAUUUAUGUGGGGUUUCCAUGUGCCAAGGGGCACGCCAAUGGUCCUUUACAUCAACUCACUUAAUCUUUAUAUCCUCAUGACCGCCCCAGGAGAUACAUAAUAACAUCUACAUUUUAUAGGCAGAGACAGAAGCUUGGCUCAGCAUAACAGAGAGGGAGUGUGGAGCAGUGGUCAGGAUCACAGCCAGUAAAUCCAGAUGACCUGGGUUCAAGUCCCAGUCCUGCCACUUCCCAGCUGUGGGCUUUUGCACAAGUCACAUGGUCUUCCUGUGUCUCAGCCCCCACCCCCCCAUCUGUAAACAAAACAACACUGUAAAAUAACAGUGUCUACCUCAUGGGGAUCUUGCAAAGAUCAAAUAAAGAGCUUUGAAGAACAUCUGACUUAUAGUAAGCUCUGUGUGAGCAUUAGCUCAGAGAUAGUUCUCAUGUUAAACUAAAUAAGUUGCCCAAAGUCACAUAGACAGAAAUUAGCAGUGCUGAUUGUGCAAACCUGCAUCCUGAAGUGAGGCCUUGGAACCAGGGUUGUCCUGGAGCUGGUUUUACCAGCUUGCAAGAGCCAACUGUUAAAUUCUCAGGACUUCUGUGAACCAGUUGUUAAACACAGACAUUAUUAAAAAUUAAAUUAUA